GUGAAUGCCAGGAGGGGCCCUAGCCCAUGCCUCCUAGAGAAAUGUGGGCUCCUGGAUGCAGGGCCCUGUGCGUGAACGCUCACCACAGCAUUGCCACAAGGCAGAGGCUUUGUGCACCACGGCGCAUCCCCCCAGCCCUCCUGGCCCAGCAGUGCUGUGCUGCGGCACUGCCUCCACCCUGCCUGUGCUGUCCUCUGCUCUUCUGCCUCUGGGCUUGCUCAGCCCCUGCAGGUACAGGCUGGGUUUGUGAGGGAGCUGAUGUUCUUAGGGGCAAUCUUGAACCGAUGGGAAAGUGAGUCUGUAGAUGAGUCUCUGACCUCCAUCCUAUGCAUUCUACGUAGUGCUUCAUACAAUCCUUGGUGGGGUCAAGCUGCCAGUGCCAACAGCAGUGAACACCUUUGCUGGGCACCCUGCGUUGUUUCUGGACUCUUCCCCUGUUGUGGCCAGCUUCUGAGAUGACCUCUGAUGAGCCUUACCUCCAGUCUUCAUGCCCUGUGACGCCUGUGGUCUGUUUACCUAGUGGAGUAAGGUGGAGGUGAUGGUGUGUGACUCCCAAGGCCGGGUCACCGAAGGCAUUGCAGUGCCCUCCUGCAUCUUUUGGAUUCUCGCCCUGGAGAAUGCCAGCCGACGUGUUGUGAGGACAUUCAAGCACCCUGUUGAGAGGAACUGAACCUCCAACUAACAGCCAUGCAGAUGAGCUUGGAGACAGACCUUCCAGCCCCAGGCGAACCUUCAGAUGAUGGCAGCCCUGGACAAUGACUGACAGCAAACUCACAAAGAAAGCUGAGCUGGAACCACCCAGCCAAGACCCACAGAAGCUACAAGGGAUAAAUAAAAGAUAACUGUUGCUUUAAGCCAUCUGCUCAUGGGGUAAUUUGGUGCAUGGUAGUAGAUAAUAGUGAGACUUUUAUUCUCCUACUUCCUCCGUCUUGCUUCCUGAGAGCACCUCCCAGACCAACUGCCUGCACCCAAGCCUUUGUCUCAGCUCUGCUUUCAGGGGAAUUCAAACCAACACAGUCACAGUGAAAACUUAGGGUCAAGAUAACGUCUAUCCACAAGACACUCGAUAAACUGUGGUAUUGUUAUUCCACUGACCCCAAACAGCAGUGAACAUGAGUGACCAAGAACUACCUCAAUCAGCUAGGAGAGGUCCCUAGCACCUAAUGUGAAAUGAAAAAAAUCAAGAAGCAAGAAAAAAGAAGAAUACCCACAGUGAAACUCUCAAUAAAAAGUUUCCAAACACAUAGUUCCAUUAUUUGCACUAAUGCUUAUGGGCACAUAUGUAUGUAGUGGUAAAAGCACAAAAGCUUUUGUGAGAUGAGCAAACGCCAGAAUCAGAGUAAUGGCCACUUCCGGGGAUACAAAGAGAGGAGAGACUGGCUGGGAAAGGGACCCAGGAGCACCAUGUAUUGGAAUCCUUGGUGGAGAAUUGAAGCAGAUCUGAAGAUGAAGCUUGUUGGUGAGUGCAAAGCUGUGUGUUAUAUAAUUUUCUAUGCCUGGUUGCAUAUUCAUUGUUGCAUUUAAUUUUUUUUUUUUAGAUGGAUUCUUGCUCUGUCACCAGGCUGGAGUGUAGUGGUGCAAUCUUGGCUCACUGCAAUCUCUACCUCCCGGGUUCAAGAAAUUCUCCUGCCUCAGCCACCCAAAUAGUUGGGAUUACAGGCAUGUGCCACCACACCCAGCUAAUUUUUGUAUUUUUAGUAGAGACGGGGUUUCACCAUGUUGACCAAGAUGGUCUCGAUCUCUUGACCUCGUGAUCUGCCUGCCUCGGCCUCCCAAAGUGCUGGGAUUACAGGCGUGAGCCACCACGCCUGGCCACAUUUAAUAUUUUUUAAAAUGAGGGAUGAAACAUACAAAGGGAACUUGGAGGUCUGAUUCCAUUUCAGCCGCUGGUUCCGUGGCCUUCCAGAGCACUUCCCAAAAGGUACCACUCAUGGUCCUGCCUCAAUGACUUUGCAUUGGCUGUUCCAUCCCCAGCGAUACUUUUCCACCAGAGAGAUGCCUGACCUCAUUCUUGCCCUUGUGUUCAGAACCACAAAACACUGUAUAUUGUAAAAAUGUCCCGUUUGCUUAUGCCUGAGUGAAUGGGUUUCUGCUGCUAACCCCCUGACCAGGCACAGAGCAGUGGUCUUUGCAAGGAUGGGCCUGGGGCCUUUGGGUCAUUCCUCCUGAGAAAUGCUGCUCAGGCCUUUGACCAAGACACAGGAAAAAGGGAGCAGAGAUGCAAACACAGAUAUGCAGCAACCACUCUGCCCAGAUUCACCUCGGCUUCCCCCUUGGCACUUGCUAUUUUCACAGCUCUCCAAGGCCAUUAGUGACAACUGUGCCCUAAGUAGGUCACAGCGAUUAUCCCCCUUUUAGGGGCAAUCAUCAUCAUCAUUGUGAGGCCGCAGGUUGGUGUUUAGUGUCCUGCUGUUCCACGAACUACUUGGACACUUGACAGCACAAAGCCCUUCAGAGAGGCCAGGGGCAGCAAUCUGCUCUUUCCUUUUUCCAGAAGGAACAGAGGUUGAGAGAGGGUAAAUGAACCCCCUGCCCUGCCAAGAAGAGUGUCAAGUGGGCUUUGGGGAGGGGAUGAGUCCCCCUCAGACACUGUGAAAAAAAGGAUGGUGUCCUCUGUGCCCAGGAUCUGGUGUUGGCACCACAGACCACCCCCUUCCUUCAGAGAACGUCUCCUCUGUCCCUCCAUGUGGUCCUGGGGAGGCUGCCAGGCCAGCUCACCGCCACCCUCCCUGCAGUGGGGAGCAGCCGGUCCAAAUGGGAUCAUGAGCCACAAAGCACACAGGAAGUUGGAAAUCCAGUGGUGCAAUCAGAAGCAGAAAAACAAAACCCCCAAAUCCAAGUGUCUCAGUGGACCACAAGAUAAAUUCAAGUUGGCAAGAUAAAAAGGAAGGUUUCGCUAAGUGUUAUUUAAGAAAAACAAGCAGGCAGGGCUCAAAUUGGGAACAGAAUGUGUGGGGAUAAGCAAAGCUCUUCUUCUUGUACAUCCCACAGUUUCCAGAGAGGAGGACAACAAAAAUGCCUUGAGCACUUGAGGUGAGGACCUGGAGGAAAGGUUCAAGAGACCAAAGGCUUGCAACCUGGAGCAGAGAAAAGCACAGCCUCGCUCUGAGGCCCGCCCUUAAAGGCUGUGCCCUGGGCCCUGCCAGGCCCCACCCAGGAAAAUGGAGACCCAGGAAGAUGCACAAACUUGCCCACAGGUCCCAAGGCUGGCUGGGACUCUGUGGGACUUGAAGCCCAAUGCUGGAGCCCACGUCCCUCACUGCUACUCCCUGCUGCGGCCCUGACUCACCCCUUCCAGCCUGCCCACUACUCUCAGCCCUUCCAGGCUGCCCACUACCCCGCCUGAUGCUGGGUCCUAAGCCUGUGGGCUCCGGCCCAGCCCAGCUGUGCGUGGAUCAUAGAGUUGAAUGGUGGCUCACUGGUCUCCCGCUCCCACCCCUGCCCCCACCCACACACUGCUAGUUUUCCUUCUAGCAGUCAGAGGGACGCUGUUGAAAGUCAUCCUCCUUCCUCCCCACAAACCCUCCAGGGCUCCCACCUCCCUCAGGAUGAGGCCAGAGUCCUCCCACUAGCCCCCGUGAGUGCUCUGGCCUGGUGGCAUGCCUGCUCCCCUUGCUGCCUGCUCAUUUCAUUCUGGCCACUCACGGUACUGCCUCAGGGCCUUCGCAUUGGCUGUACCCUCUCCUGCAAUGCUUUUCCACACUACACAGACAGAACUUGCUCCCUCACCUCCUUCAGACUUUGUUCCACUGCAGCAUUCUCAGUAAGCCUUCCUCGAGCGCCUUGUGGUAGAGAGGUACAGAAAUACCCUCUAGGGUGGGAAGAAAAGCAGCCAGCCUGGGGCCCCAGUCAGGGCCUCAAGAUGUGCCCUUAUGUUGCUCCGAUCCUGCCCUGUCUCAGGGUGUGCCCUGCUCUCAGAUGUGCCUGCCGCUGACGACCAUUCCCACUCCGACAAGGAGGCUGCAAAGGCUGUAGCACCCAGGGAUGAGGAUGAAGCAUUUUUAUUCUUCCCACUGUAAGACGAAGUAGCAUGCGUAAGAAGCCACGUUGGCUCAUUUCUGCUUGAACCCCUGACUCUGUGACAACGUGCAGCUCUCUGGAAAGAUGCUUUGAAGGCAAAGCAGGAUGAAGCGCCCGGCCCCGCACGUCUCUUGCCUGAGUCACUUGAUUCCUUAAAAGAGAAGAGCUCUAGUCCUUGCCUUUCUGACAGGCUUAAUGACGAUGCCUCUGCCAUCUAUAACCAGAGGUGCUCUUACACCCACACCUUGAUGGGCUGCUGCUUCAACGUAACUUCUGAGCAAGUCCGAUGUGAUUUUGCACUUGCUGAACCUCCACCACCUGUAUGUAAGCCGUGGGCUUCAACAGAACUGCCCUGAGGCAGUAGAUGUGGUCUGGAGUCCUCAGACUCCUGAAUGAAAUGAACUUUAGUUCUUCGAAAGCUUGAUUUUGUUUUCGUUGUCAACACUGGGAAAUUGGGCUUAGAGGGGCUUCCAGGGGCCUCUUUGCCCUCCAGCUUUCCUUGCCUCCUCUUGUCUCCUGAUUUGCUCUUAUGUUUCUCUACCUUCCAGGAACCCGAGUUGCUAAGCUCCUAGCUCCAGCCUGUCCCACCAGCGGGGGCUCCAAGGGGCUCAGGCUUCCCAGAGUCCAGUGCCCACAUAGCAGACAAACCCACAUCGUGUGCCCGAGUCUCCUGGCCUGGUUUAGGCAUGUGAUUACACUCAUGGGGUCUGUGUCUCUUGCUCGGAUUUAACCACAUACCCUCCCAACCCGCCAACUAGGUUUCAAUGCAAGGGAAGGCCAGAUCCCUGUAUGUCAUGUCUAACCCACACACCCACGUGAGCGCAUGUCUGUGCACAUGGAGCGUGUGUCUGGGGUCCCGAUGGCAGUGUUUACACAGGAACCUCUGUCCAGUGAGCAGGCACACACGCACGUCCUGGGCAUCUG
rnacentral:lncRNA from 10 species